AUUGAACGCUGGCGGCAGGCCUAACACAUGCAAGUCGAGCGGAGCGGCGGACGGGUAAGUAAUACCUAGGAAUCUGCCUGGUAGUGGGGGAUAACGUCCGGAAACGGGCGCUAAUACCGCAUACUAUCACAUGAGCCUAGGUCGGAUUAGCUAGUUGGUGGGGUAAAGGCCUACCAAGGCGACGAUCCGUAACUGGUCUGAGAGGAUGAUCAGUCAAACUGGAACUGAGACACUGUCCAGGCUCCAACGGAAGGCAUCAGUGGGGAAUAUUCGAAAAUGGGCGAGAGCCUGAGCCAGCCAUGCCGUGUGUGUGAAGAAGGUAUGCGGAUUGUAAACCACUUUAAGUUGGGAGGCGUUACCAACAGAAUAAGCACAGGCUAACUUCGUGCCAGCAGCCGCGGUAAUUC
rnacentral:rRNA from 1 species